rnacentral:rRNA from 1 species
CAGUAGGGAAUCUUCGGCAAUGGGGGCAACCCUGACCGAGCAACGCCGCGUGAGUGAAGAAGGUUUUCGGAUCGUAAAGCUCUGUUGUAAGUCAAGAACGGGUGUGAGAGUGGAAAGUUCACACUGUGACGGUAGCUUACCAGAAAGGGACGGCUAACUACGUGCCAGCAGCCGCGGUAAUACGUAGGUCCCGAGCGUUGUCCGGAUUUAUUGGGCGUAAAGCGAGCGCAGGCGGUUUGAUAAGUCUGAAGUUAAAGGCUGUGGCUCAACCAUAGUUCGCUUUGGAAACUGUCAAACUUGAGUGCAGAAGGGGAGAGUGGAAUUCCAUGUGUAGCGGUGAAAUGCGUAGAUAUAUGGAGGAACACCGGUGGCGAAAGCGGCUCUCUGGUCUGUAACUGACGCUGAGGCUCGAAAGCGUGGGGAGCGAACAGGAUUAGAUACCCUGGUAGUCCACGCCGUAAACGAUGAGUGCUAGGUGUUGGAUCCUUUCCGGGAUUCAGUGCCGCAGCUAACGCAUAAGCACUCCGCCUGG